rnacentral:rRNA from 1 species
GCUAAUACCGGAUAAGAAAAGCAGAUCGCAUGAUCAGCUUUUUAAAAGGCGACGUAAAGCUGUCGCUAUGGGGAUGGCCCCGCGGUGCAUUUAGCUAGUUUGGUAAGGUAAAGGCUUACCAAGGGCGAUGAUGCAUAGCCCGAGUUUGAGAGACUGAUCGGCCACAUUGGGGACUGAGACACGGGCCCAAACUCCUACGGGAGGCAGCAGUAGGGAAUCUUCCACAAUGGACGCAAGUCUGAUGGAGCAAACGCCGCGUGAGUGAAGAAGGUUUUCGGAUCGUAAAGCUCUGUUGUUGGUGAAGAAGGAUAGAGGUAGUAACUGGCCCUUUAUUUGACGGUAAUCAACCAGAAAGUCACGGGCUAACUACGUGCCAGCAGCCGCGGUAAAU